GCCGUGUUAGCUCAGUCGGUAGAGCACCACACUCUUAAUCUGGCUGUCGCGGGUUCGAGCCGCGCACCGGGCU